rnacentral:rRNA from 1 species
GAUGAACGCUGGCGGCGUGCCUAAUGCAUGCAAGUCGAGCGAACAGACGAGGAGCUUGCUCCUCUGACGUUAGCGGCGGACGGGUGAGUAACACGUGGAUAACCUACCUAUAAGACUGGGAUAACUUCGGGAAACCGGAGCUAAUACCGGAGAAUAUAUUGAACCGCAUGGUUCAAUAGUGAAAGACGGUUUUGCUGUCACUUCUAGAUGGAUCCGCGCGGCAUUAGCUAGUUGGUAAGGAAACGGCUUACCAAGGCGACGAGGCGUAGCCGACCUGAGAGGGUGAUCGGCGACACUGGAAGUGGAACACGGUCCAGACUCCUACGGUAGGCAGCAGUAGGCAAUCUUCCGCAAUGGGCGAAAGCCUGACGCAGCGACCCCGCGUGAGUGAUGAAGGUCUUCCGAUCGUAAAACUCUGUUAUUAGGGAAGAACAAAUGUGUAAGUAACUAUGCACGUCUUGACGGUACCUAAUCAGAAAGCCACGGCUAACUACGUG